GACGAACGCUGGCGGCGUGCCUAAUACAUGCAAGUAGAACGCACAGUUUAUACCGUAGCUUGCUACACCAUAAACUGUGAGUUGCGAACGGGUGAGUAACGCGUAGGUAACCUGCCUGGUAGCGGGGGAUAACUAUUGGAAACGAUAGCUAAUACCGCAUAAUAUUGAUUAUUGCAUGAUAAUUGAUUGAAAGAUGCUAUUGCAUCACUACCAGAUGGACCUGCGUUGUAUUAGCUAGUAGGUGAGGUAACGGCUCACCUAGGCGACGAUACAUAGCCGACCUGAGAGGGUGGUCGGCCACCCUGGGACUGAGACACGGCCCAGACUCCUACGGGAGGCAGCAGUAGGGAAUCUUCGGCAAUGGACGAAAGUCUGACCGAGCAACGCCGCGUGAGUGAAGAAGGUUUUCGGAUCGUAAAGCUCUGUUGUAAGAGAAGAACGGGUGUGAGAGUGGAAAGUUCACACUGUGACGGUAUCUUACCAGAAAGGGACGGCUAACUACGUG
rnacentral:rRNA from 1 species